GAGAGAGAGAGAGCGCCAGAAUGUAGAGCAGGGAAUAAAACCUUGCCAUUAUAAAUAUAAUAAAUGGGGGUGGGUACAGUAGUAAAACACCAGCAUGCUUACAUGGAAAGCUUUGAGAUGUAUAACAAGUACUUGUGAGUAUGGACUGAGGGAGCCUGGAGGUCAGAAUGGGUUUUAAUAUUCAUUCACAGAUAUAUGUCAGUAGAGACCUAUGUUCUUUCUGCCAGAGGUAAGGGAAACAACUCCUUUUGGCAGCUGGGAACUGGUUUCACAAAUUCCUGAGGAAUGCUGGACUUUCUUUAGCUGGCAGAAACCCUCCUAUAGAUCAGCUUCAGUUUAUUUUUGGAUAUUUGGACAGCCUGAGAGAUCUAACAGAAAGUAAAUCUCUUUGGAAACAACUUAAGAUAAAGCUUAAGGAAUAUUUCCAGUGCAUGUGACUAUUUCCUUUGGUAAUAAUAUAUGAAUAGUAUGAGGCCCAAAAUCUCAAUUCUACUUUAAUACUGAUGGUUCACAUGUUUAUUCAAGAGUCCAGGUAAUAUUUUCAUGUGAACUAGGCUUAACCAUAACCCAAGAUCUCUGAAUUUUCUUUUGGAUUCAAGGGUGAACAUACACAGGAAAAAGUGCACACAUUCAUAUGCUAGGAAGGGUCUUCAUGCAACCCUCCAUGCUGAACUCUAAGUAACUCAAGCCGACCUCAAAAUCUGUGAUCCCUCUUAGGACGGUUCUUCUUGGUUAUCAACCUGACUAUAUAUGGAAUGAACUAAAACCAAAAAUGGAGGGGCAUGACUAUGAAGAACUUCGGCUUCAUUUGAAGUAGAAAGAUCUACUUCCCUUCUUAUCUUUGAGGUGGGAAGGCACAUUUAUAAUCUAGAUCUUUUGACGUGAGAAGACAUACCUGUCAUCUGGGCCAUGCCUACUGCUUGAAGCCUAUAUAUGGAUGUCCAUUUCUUCACUAGCAUUGGAGUCUACUUCUUCAGGAUUCUCAUGUAUACUGAAGACUAGCCGAGACAUCCAGUCUCGUGGACUGAGCUACUACUGGAUUCUUGAACCUUCUGUUCAUAGAAAGCCAUUGUUGGAUUAGCUGAACCACAUCCUGUAAGUCAUCCUAAUACUCCAACCUCCCUGUACCCUUUUAUGGAUUCAUUCUGUAACUUAGGUUACUAUAGAGAACCUUGACAAAUAUACUUCUGAAGAAUAUAUCUUAUUUUAAAGAUAAAAGGGGAGUCUUCCUUAUCUCUGCUUUGGGUCUAGACUUCCUGUCUCUAACUCACUAGGCCUGUUCCAUAGUACAGGGGACCUUGGUUUCCCCCCUCAGGGUCCAAACUCUUGUUUCCAGCCAUCUCUUGAUCCGUCCAGAUUGGGGCUGUCACUUCUUCCUAUUCAGUCAUUUGAAAUCUUACCUCUUUUUAAAGAAUGUGUUUAAUAGGAACUCGAAUUCCACGAGCUACUUUUUUAUGACUUGGUACCAUGACUUCUGUCAGGUCCCGAUUUGAAACCAUCCAGCUUGACUAAGUAGUUACUAAUCUGUUUGGUUUUCAUUUAAAUGCUCCCCCUUCCCUUUCCCCACGUGCUCAUUACUGUGGUUUAUAUUCAGCUUCUGAUGAGAGCUAACCAUUUUUGUGAAGCCUAGAGCAUAAUAGGUAUUAAAAGCUCAAGCCUUCUGAUGCAUCUGCUAUUUGUUUUCCCUCCCUACUAAUUAGUGGGUCCACAUUCUCUUUUGUCUUGUUCCUAAUGUAUUUGUGAAAUAUUGUCGGGCUGCCCUUUGUUUCUCUCGCUGGUUGCAUCUCAUAUUGUACUCUGGCUUUCCGGCUGCUGUUCCCAUAUUACACAUGCCCUCUUCUCUUACCCUUGCCUUCAGCACAGUGGCCCCAUUUUCCCUUUGCAUGCCAUUUCAUCCUGGCAGCUUAAAGUGCAGUGUGGGCUUUGCACUCCAUAGAAUGACUAGCAAAGAGAAGGCUCGAGGACAUGUUCCUAAGCAUUGAGGGAAUAGGAAUAGCUUGGCUCCUCUCAUGCUUGCACGGAAUAUUCUAGUAUUUUCUGGCUAAAGAUCUAUUGACACCUACCCAAUACCCUGGGAAGCUUGUCAUGGUGCCAGAUCACACACAGUCUGGAUAAUCUCAGGCAGGCAGUGACAUCUUUUGUUGAUUUCUGUAGACAGUGGGCAAGAUGUCAGCUAUGAAAGGCUUGCUUGUGCAGCUCUACUUGUCCUUUCUUGUUCCCGUGGAAACUGAUAGAAACUUUACAUUUCUCCAUAGGUCUUUCAACAAAUGACUGAAGUACACUGCUGUUCAUCAUGUGUCCUGACACAGAUCAAAAAUGAGAUUGAGCUCAACUCAUCUGUUUCAGUCACUGCUGGUGAAAUCUGAUGGUGCCGGGGAGGCCAUUGUGUUCACACCAGAACCUGGCAAGCCCAGGUGUGGGAGGCUGGAAACCUGGAAAAGAAAAUGCCAUUUUAUGAAGACUUUUCUAGCACAUCAACCAUAUAAUUCCUCAGCAGGACCACUGGGUCUCAGCAAAAUGCAAACGUCUCCCACACAAUGGCCGGCCACAGUGGGGUGGCUUUUGGAAAAACAUUCAGAGCUCUUGUUGAAGGAACAUCGUGGUGGCUUCUCAAAACUAG
rnacentral:sRNA from 1 species